rnacentral:lncRNA from 1 species
UGAAGACGUCAAAGCCCUGAGAGGCUGAAGGACUUGACAAGGUACACCUGCUGAACUGUGCUGGGGCAGAGCCUUGUUCUCCUAAAAAACUCUCUUAUGUCUUCUGCACAGUAGUGCUCUUCUCUGCAGGCAACAAAUGUGCCUUUUUAAGUGUAAAGUGUGUUCUCUUGUGUAAUGAUGGUGGUAGGAAAGUUUUCAAGGAGUGCUACUGUCUUGGUCCUGUGUUUGAAUAGUGACAACAGGGCUCUGGAGGGAAUGCCUUGGUCCUGCAGCAAUCGAGGGCAUGUGGGUCCAGAAGAGAGUCCUCUGUGUUCCUCUCUCAGCGUGAGAUUCCCCUCAGCUGGCUCCAAGACUCGGAUUGGCAUCCAGAAACGGUCAGAGAACAAUCCAUGGCAGUGGAGAGGAAGAAUAGCUUGAAUAAAUUGUCCUAGAAGACAAGACAUAUGAGGAGCAGUUAAGGAAACUGGAGUUGAUUAGUCUGGAGAAGAGGAGGCUCAGUGAAGACCUCGUCACUGUCUACAACUACCUGAAAAGAGAUUGUAGUGAGGUGGGUGUCUACUUCUUUUCUCAGGUGACAAGUAAUAGGACAUGAGGAAAAGUCCUCAAGUUGUGCCAGGGGAGGUAUAGAUUGGAUACUAGGAAGAACUUCUUCACAGAGAGGCAUUGAAACAGGCUGCCCAGGGAAGUGGUGGAGUCCCCAUCCAGGAGGUAUUUAAGAGAUGUGUGGAUUUAACGCUUAGGGACGUGGUUUAGUGGUGGAGUUGGUAGUGUUAGGUGAUGGUUGGACUUGAUGAUCUUAAGGGUCUUUUCCAGCCUAAAUGAUUCAAUGGUUCUGUUCCAAAUCAGUCUCUAAGUAGCACGCCACAUCCUUUAUAAAAUGAUUUCAAGUUAUUCCCCAUUUUCUGUGUGAAGGAGAAGAGAACAUCCAGUCAGCUCUUACUGAGUAGAAGGUAAUAAAAUACAGUGG